GGGGGCAUAGCUCAGUUGGGAGAGCAGCAGACUGAAGACUUUCAUAUAGUUGAUCUGAAGGUCCCGCGUUCAAUCCGCGGUGCCCCCA
rfam:Termitomyces sp. J132 unplaced genomic scaffold scaffold250, whole genome shotgun sequence.